rnacentral:rRNA from 1 species
AGCCUGAUGCAGCGACGCCGCGUGAGGGAUGACGGCCUUCGGGUUGUAAACCUCUUUCAGUAGGGAAGAAGCGCAAGUGACGGUACCUGCAGAAGAAGCGCCGGCUAACUACGUGCCAGCAGCCGCGGUAAUACGUAGGGCGCAAGCGUUGUCCGGAAUUAUUGGGCGUAAAGAGCUCGUAGGCGGUUUGUCGCGUCCGCUGUGAAAGCCCGGGGCUCAACCCCGGGUCGGCAGUGGGUACGGGCAGACUAGAGUGCAGUAGGGGAGACUGGAAUUCCUGGUGUAGCGGUGAAAUGCGCAGAUAUCAGGAGGAACACCGAUGGCGAAGGCAGGUCUCUGGGCUGUUACUGACGCUGAGGAGCGAAAGCAUGGGGAGCGAACAGGAUUAGAUACCCUGGUAGUCCAUGCCGUAAACGUUGGGCACUAGGUGUGGGGGACAUUCCACGUCCUCCGCGCCGUAGCUAACGCAUUAAGUGCCCCGCCUGGGGAGUACGGCCGCAAGGCUAAAACUCAAA